CAAGUCGAACGAUGAAGCCGGAGCUUGCUCCGGUGGAAGAGUGGCGAACGGGUGAGUAACACGUGAGUAACCUGCCCUUGACUCUGGGAUAACCUCCGGAAACGGAANCUAAUACCGGAUAUGACGCGCGAAGGCAUCUUCUGCGCGUGGAAAGAAUUUCGGUCAAGGAUGGACUCGCGGCCUAUCAGGUAGUUGGUGAGGUAACGGCUCACCAAGCCUACGACGGGUAGCCGGCCUGAGAGGGUGACCGGCCACACUGGGACUGAGACNCNGCCCAGACUCCUACGGGAGGCAGCAGUGNGGAAUAUUGCACAAUGNGCGCAAGCCUGAUGCANCAACGCCGCGUGAGGGAUGACNGCCUUCGGGUUUGUAAACCUCUUU
rnacentral:rRNA from 1 species